GGAAAACCUGUUAGAUGCCAAGAUCUACAGAGUUUCAGAUAGAGAAGAGAUAGAGCUUUGCGUUCCUUCUGCAAAAGAAAUGUACAGAUUCUAUGACCCGAAAACAAUUUGUUUUGAAGAUUUGAGUGAAGAAUUGGGAGUUUUAUGUCCCAAGUAUGAUGCAUUGAUAACAGAGUUGCAGAAUAAGCAAAGCUACAUGUAUGAAGAUGCUGAUGAUAUAACAAAAGAAUCAAGGAGACGCCUUUCUAAUUUUAGCAAAAAUUUGCUACUGCCUUGAUGAUGUUGGUCUUGUUUUAGCAAGUGAGGUAUUUGUUAUAUUCAUUGGCUUUAGCUACUUAUGUUACAGCUGCUCGCGAGCGCCAAGACGGUGCCUUCGCUUCCCACAUCGCUGCCAAGUCCACCCCCAAGCUGCUCCACUGCCUCGCCUUACGCCUCACGGCUGAGCAGAUCGUGUGGCCCGAUAAAGAGAUAAGUACUGUCUGUUUCCUUGAUCUGCUUCAGCCGCCAUCACCAUCAACCCCUUCUAGCUUCCACAGGUGACUAUGCAUCUUGUAGUUUCUAAGGUCUGCAAAAAGCAUGCUUCAGAUACAGUUGGGGAUAUAUACAGAACAUCAAAAUGGGAAUAUGGGAUGCAUUCCUUGAUGCAAGACAGAUAGAAGUGUCCAACCAUUACGAAUUUCUAAAUCAAAGAAUUCAGCACAGAAAGAUAGGAUGAUUAAUGUCGUUGAAGCGAUGACUAUUAUCCUGGCUUGCCUACGAUCUUGGGAUUUGAUGCUCGUCUCUGGGGUCAUUUGCGUCCUAUGUAAAUCCAAUCCAAUCAUACCAACGAAUUAAGGUUUGGAUUAUGGAUCCUUUCAAUCAUCUUGAUGAGUAUACAACCAACACAUCUCUUUCUGUUUCAUCAUUUCGUAUGGAGGAGUAUGGUGAAGCCUAUAAUGAGUGCCUUUAAGAAACUGUUUUGAGCAUGUUGCUACAUCAAUAGUACAAUCAUCAUCUACUGAUGCCUCACAUGAAGUCAUCAUUGCUCACAAAUUUGCAUCCAAAACAAGAAUUGAGAUUCUUUUAAAUUGGAAGCCCCUCAAUGAGGGUUAGGAUAAUUGUUAACUAUUCCCAAGUGAUAUGUAGAAUAAAUGAUCAGCUCUUUUUUUUAACUUAGUAGGUGAUAGCUUCGAUAACUUUUGGAAAUAUUUAGAAACAACGUGUAGUUGAACUGGCAGAAUAUUUGUGGCAUUGUAACCAUCUAACCUUUUUCUUAAUGAAUUAUUCCAAUAGUUUUUUAUUGAGUCA